UUGAAUAGAUGUCUGGUUUCCCAUCUCUUUGACUAUUUUUGUUCUUGUCAAGAUUGUGUGUGGGUUUUUUUUUUUUUUUUUUUUGAAUUCAGAAGUUACAAUAUUCUUGAACUUGUCUUUGAUAACUACAUAUCUUAAGCUACUGGCUUUCAAAAAUUUCACAUGUGAACUACUCAUCUAUAUAGAGCGACUGCUUGUAUUGCCAUAACAAUCAUUUAUGCAAUAAGUACAUAGUUGAGAUUGGUCAUUGAACAGGUAUGCAUGCUUGUCUAUUCAAACCAUAUUAGUGUGAAAAUUACAAGAACUACCUCCUACUAUAGUAAACAUUCCGCCACAAAUUAUCCUGAUAUUACUACAUCAAUAACACACCAAACCAAACAACAAAAAUAACUGCCAUCAAACCUCGGGCAGUACCAUUGCAACUUUGUUUGAUCACCUUUAGAAGUUGGAAGAGAGUUCAAAAUGGCAGGAGCCAUGGCAAAUAUACUUACAUGCCAUCCCUCUUUAUUCUGUAAUCAAGAUACUUCUUCAAUAUUUUGUCAACAAUUGGAACUCGAGGCAGUUUAACAAGUUGCAAGAAGAAAUCAAUGUAUAAAUCAAUCAAAUACAAAAAGUUUCUCCUAAGUAAGAGGUUAUCUUAAAGAUUCCUAUAAAUGGAAAAGGGAUAUGCCAAUCAAAAUAUAAAUAAAUAAAUGGCAUAAGAACUAAGUAUACAUCAUGAAGAUAAAUAAAUGGCAUAAGAGUUAAGUACACACACGUAGUUGGGAUUUCUUAUCUCUUAUACAAAAUGAAGAAGAUAAAAUUAGAACCAUCACAAGCUACAAAUGAUCUGAAAUCCAAACUUAACAAAGAUUAACCUAGAUAUACUUACACCACCAGUCCACCAUCUGCUCCAGUAUAGAGUCAUACUGUCUCUAAAGUUAUAAUGGUUAAAAAAAAAAACAAACCAUUCACUACCUUAAACUCUUAAUCCCACUGUCCCUAAGAUUUUGAUGUUUGCCCAUAUCGGGCAUUUGAUGCUUUCUUUGAUUGCUAAACCAUUGGGAACACACGACAAUUUGGUAGCGGAAGUAUAACAAAGAUUAACCUAGAUAUACUUACACCACCAAUCCACCAUCUGCUCCUGUAUAGAGCCAUAUUGUCUCUAAAGUUAUAGUGGUUAAAAAAAAAACAAACCAUUCACUACCUUAAACUCUUAAUCCCACUGUCCCUAAGAUUUUGAUGUUUGCCCAUAUUGGGCAUUUGAUGCUUUCUUUGAUUGCUAAACCAUUGGGAACACACGACAAUUUGGUAGCGGAAGUAUAACCAGAAAUAAAUGUGGUCACACAAUCUUUGCUAUUCUAUCCUGACUGACUGUUAUGGUUAAAGCUUUUAAGAAAUAUGUAUUCACUCAUCUAUUAUUGCUCAGGGAAUCAAAGCUUGGGGUUUGAAUUAGAAGCAAAUAUUCUAACCAAAAUGGUUGAUUUCACCUUGAAAUGUUACUUGACCUCUUCUUUGACCCCUUAGGCUUUUAUAUUUUAGUCUGUUUAUUUUUUUAUCAUUUUCCUUUUUAGUUUGGAGGUUGUACUUUUUUUCAUCCUUCAACAAAUUUGGCUUGUUAUAGAAAAAAUUCAUGGUAUGGGAAAAGAAUCAUAUCUUCUAGAAAGCUUAAUGGGCUUGUUUUUUAAGGUGUUACUAGCAGAAAGGAGAAUUAGAGAUUGAUAUUGCAAAAUAGAAUUGAUUAUAUGGAUUAUUUUUAUCUAUGAAUGUUUACGAUUUUUUUUUUUUAUCAUUCUUUAUUCAUCUUGUUGGGACCCCCUAACUAAAAUGUGGAGACCAAAAUUCAAAUAAGUUGUUAGCUCAUGCUUUAAAAAUUGCCUUAAUAGAUUUGAAUUUGACAUGAUGCUCAUUUGUCACCAUUUUUAGUGUUGUUUUGGGGGUGGUAAUUGAUCAAUUAAGAUUUAGUAGAUUUAUAAUUAUGCCUUCAGUCAUUAUUCAAGUAAAGAUGAUCUUCCUAUUUAUUAAAUCAUGUCUUCUCCAUAAUUUUAAAAUAAAUAUGCUCAACUUUAUCUAUUAAAGAGUCAUUGUCAUCCUUCUUUCAUAUUGACAUGGUGAACCACUUCCAUUGUGUCUGAUCUUAUUUAUAUCUGAAAAUAAUUUUUGUUGUUGAUUGCAAUCAUCUGGGUGUUUUGCUUUGUAUUGGUCUUCUUAUCUAUUAAUUCUGGAAAACAUGUGCAACUGCAAGAGGUAAGAAGUGGAAGAAUGACUCUGUUGCUAAGGUAAAUUCUUGGAUUGUCAUUGCCUGGAGCAAAUAUAGAACGAUUGAGUUUUUGUAUUUGUAUAUAUGGGUGUGUACUGUUGGUGAUCAUUAUCCUAGUUCUAGUGGCAAAAAGUUUGUAGGAUUUUAUGGUAUGUUAUAGCAUGUAAAAUUGCAUUAUACAAUAUUUUGAUGUCUUGAACUUUAUGCCUUUAUUUUCUUCCUUCUUGUUGAUAGGUGAUUGCUUAUCUUAGCAUGUGUAGGAGGUUUUCUAUUAAUGGAUUUAAUUUGGUCCACCUAUGGACACUUUUAGCCUAGCCCCAGAUUUAAAAGAUAUGCAAUUGGCUAAAGUCCUAAGACGUAUUAGCAUUUGUUAGCUUGUAACUAGAAGAUCUUCCAAGAUGAGAGAGAUCAUCUUUUAAAGAAAAUGCAAAAAGAUGUAGUUCUCUUAAGAUGCAAAGUAACAUUUCCUACAUGGAUGAUACUUUUGGUGGAUGUUUUACCAUAUGGGAUUUUUAAUUCUAUUCGGUUCCAUUGUCCUAAUUCAUGAUAUUUUUUUUCCACCUAGUAUAGUAUCCUUAGCAGGCUUGAGACAGUUUGCCUUUUCAAUUCAUUUAGAGAAAAAUGAUCUUACAAGAAAUAUCUCUUUGUUGUUUCCAUUGACUUUAUUUCACAUUGUAGCCUAACUUUCUGUUCAAUCCCUCAGCAUGGAACGAAGUACAUUUCUGCUAACUUGUCAUGUAUAAGACUUGAAAGUGCUUCUUAGUUGAUGAGUUUCUCUUUAUUAGAAUUUAUUUGGCCAAGUUUUCCAUAAGCAGUUUGAGGUUUCCUGAACUAAGUUUGUGUUUUCUUUAUUGUUUGGAGAAAAGAGCCAUACCAGUGGAGAAGCUCGUGAACAUCCAAAUUUCUCCAAUACUGAAGAAGCAACUAGUUGAUGAUUUUGAAUUCAUUACUCAUCUGGGCAAGGUAAAAGAUAUCAAGUUCAAGAAUGGAUAUGCAACCAAUAGGAAUACUUUUGGUUAAAAAUACUUUUGGCUUCUUCUUCUUCUUCUUGUAAUAUUAUUUUUUAUAAGGAAUUUAGAGACCUUGUUUUUUGGUACAUGUGUACUUGAUUUAUGUUGAAGUUGCAAAAUAUGCUUGUUGUAAAUAUUUUGAUACAUUAACAAAUUUACGUAUUAAUUAACUAUGUAGACAUUAGUUCUUUAUCAUGAUAUUAUUCCCAAAUUUAUUCAAUUUCUUUUGGAAGA